rnacentral:rRNA from 1 species
AACGCUAGCUACAGGCUUACACAUGCAGUCGAGGGGCAGCAUGAACUUAGCUUGCUAAGUUGAUGGCGACCGGCGCACGGGUGAGUAACGCGUAUCCAACUUCCGCCUGCUCAGGGAUAGCCUUUCGAAAGAAAGAUUAAUACCUGAUAGCUUAUGUUUCCUGCAUGGGAGACAUAAUAAAGAUUUAUCGGCAAGCGAUGGGGAUGCGUUCCAUUAGAUAGUAGGCGGGGUAACGGCCCACCUAGUCGACGAUGGAUAGGGGUUCUGAGAGGAAGGUCCCCCACAUUGGAACUGAGACACGGUCCAAACUCCUACGGGAGGCAGCAGUGAGGAAUAUUGGUCAAUGGACGAGAGUCUGAACCAGCCAAGUAGCGUGAAGGAUUACAGCCCUAUGGGUUUUAAACUUCUUUUAUAAGGGAAUAAAAAGGAUUACGUGUAGUCCAUUGUAUGUACCUUAUGAAUAAGCAUCGGCUAACUCCGUGCCAGCAGCCGCGGUAAUACGGAGGAUGCGAGCGUUAUCCGGAUUUAUUGGGUUUAAAGGGUGCGUAGGCCGGAAGGUAAGUCAGCGGUGAAAAGUUGCAGCUCAACUGUAACCGUGCCGUUGAAACUGUCUUCCUUGAGUGCGGACAAGGCAGGCGGAACUCGUGGUGUAGCGGUGAAAUGCUUAGAUAUCACGAAGAACUCCGAUUG